rnacentral:lncRNA from 1 species
UGUGGUUGUAGAGGUUUUACCCCCAAGAGUAGGGGUGGGCAAAAUACCCGACCUGACCCAAAAAAAUUUGGGUCGGGUUGUGAAUAGAACCCGAUCGAGUGCAAUUGUGUCAACCCGAUCGGGUCGUGUUCGGAUCGAUUGAAACCCGAUCCGAUCCGAAAACCCAAUCGGGUUGACACAAAAUUACAAAAAAAAAAUACAAAAUCAAAAUCAUAACCCCAAAACUUAUCCUAAUUCCUAAACACUCACAGUCACACACACCUCUCAACACUCACGAUCCACACACACAAACCCUUACAAACAAAAGCCUAACCAUUGCAUAUGGCACAACUGCACAGGCACUCAAGCAGCAGUGAGCAGCCAACUAUCCACCGGUGCGUCAUCCACCCACAAGCGACGGCCUCCCUCUCUUGCAACUUGGAACCCACCACCGAUAGCCACACAGCCUAUCGCCUGCAACUUGGAACCCACCACCAACAGUCACACAACCCGUCGGUUGCAACAUCCUCCCUCGAACAAACAAAACACACACACACACAUGGAACCCACCACCGAAAGCCACACAACCCGUCGCCUGCAACAUCCUCCCUCAAACAAACAAAACACACACACACACACACACACACACACACACAAAGUUAACGCCUUAACGAAGCAAGCUGCAGCCGACCACCACGCAGCAACCGCCGACCACCACGCAGCAACCGCCGACCCUCCGCGAGGAUCUUGAUCUAAUUCCGAUCGACCGAUCUACUGCUACAAAGUACCGAAUCUGUUGCGCCACCUCCAAGCCUCCAUUCCUCCACCAUCACCUGAUCCGAUUCAAGCUCCAUUAACCCAGCAAGCAGCGACCCAAAUUUUGGCUGUCGAAUUGAGUUUUGGAAGCUUUGAGUUUGAGCUUUGAAACUUGAUGGUGAUGAUAUUUGUGAAAGUGACGCAUGGAAGUGAAGUGUUAAUAAGCCUUUCCCUAAUCUGACCCAUCUCAAACCCGAACCCGAUCCGAUCCGAACUCAACCCGAUCCGAUUCGAUCCGAAUAUAUUCGGAUUGGAUUGGAUUGGAUUGGAUCGGAUCGGGUUAUAAAUUCGGGUUGAAUUCAGAUGAAUUUUUAUUCAACCCGACCAACCCGAAACCCGAUGGGGUUGAUCCGAACCCAACCCUAACCCGAUUUUACUCAGCCCUACCCAAGAGCAUGGAAGAGUGGUUUUUUAGCAGCUUUAUUGCCAUCUACUUGAAUUCAAAUCCUAAAAAGAAAGUAGAGACUAAAAAGAAUAAAUUUUGGAUUUUUC